rnacentral:rRNA from 1 species
CUGCAUGGCGUGUCGUCAGCUCGUGUCGUGAGAUGUUGGUUAAGUCCGCACGAGCGCAACCCUUGUCUUUAGUUGCCAUCAUUUAGUUGGGCACUCUAAAGAGACUGCCGGUGUCAAACCGGAGGAAGGUGGGGAUGACGUCAAGUCCUCAUGGCCUUUAUGACCAGGGCUACACACGUACUACAAUGGCCGGUACAAAGGGCAGCCACUUAGCGAUAAGGAGCCAAUCCCGUAAAGCCGGUCUCAGUCCGGAUUGGAGUCUGCAACUCGACUCCAUGAAGUUGGAAUCGCUAGUAAUCGCAGACCAGCACGCUGCGGUGAAUACGUUCCCGGGCCUU